rnacentral:pre_miRNA from 1 species
CCUUGGGCAGUGCCUCCAGGACUGUCCGACCUGAGAAUGCCAGGCUCCAGGCUCAAUCUCAGGUCCGUCAGCCCGAGAGGUGCUGCCCUACC